AGCAGCAGCCACGGUAAUACGGAGGGUGCAAGCGUUAUCCGGAUUUAUUGGGUUUAAAGGGUCCGUAGGCGGACUUAUAAGUCAGUGGUGAAAGCCUGUCGCUUAACGAUAGAACUGCCAUUGAUACUGUAAGUCUUGAGUAUAUUUGAGGUAGCUGGAAUAAGUAGUGUAGCGGUGAAAUGCAUAGAUAUUACUUAGAACACCAAUUGCGAAGGCAGGUUACCAAGAUAUAACUGACGCUGAGGGACGAAAGCGUGGGUAGCGAACAGGAUUAGAUACCCCCGUAGUCCCUGUCUCUUAUAC
rnacentral:rRNA from 1 species